GGCCGCAUAACUCAAUUGGUAGAGUAGCCUCCCGAUAAGGGGCAAGUUGCAGGUUCGAGCCCUGCUGUGGCCACCA
rnacentral:tRNA from 1 species